AAAAGAUGAAACAUUAGAUGAAAGAGGGUGUCACAAGUAUGUUAUUGAUGAUAUGCAAGAUUGUGAAAAGAUUUUAACUUGACUUGAAGAAAUUUAUUUUACACUUUUGAGAGCAAAAUCUACAUUUGGAAUAUAAGAAAUUAUCAUUGAUAGGCAUUUGUAUGGAUUUUAUGGAAAAAAAAACUAGAUUUAGGUAAAAUUAAUACAAUUGGAAGGAUGAAGGAUAUAUGUGACUCUUUAAUAAAAGUAUGUAGGUUUUUAAGAGCUUGUAUAUUUUAUUGUAUAUGGAUUCCUCAUUAUGAUUAUAUAUUAGAUCUAUUAUAUGGAUUAUUACAUGAAUGUUGUUAAUUUAAAUGAAAAAAAAUAUAUUUAA
rnacentral:lncRNA from 1 species